CCUACGGGUGGCAGCAGUGAGGAAUAUUGGUCAAUGGCCGGAAGGCUGAACCAGCAACGUCGCGUGAGGGACGACUGCCCUCUGGGUUGUAACCCUCUUUUAUAGGGGAGGAAUACAUGCUACGUGUCGCAUGAUGCCUGUCCCUUUUGGAUAAGCAUCGGCUAACUCCGUGCAAGCAGCCGCGGUAAUACGGAGGAUGCGAGCGUUAUCCGCAUUUAUUGGGGUUAAAGGGUGGGUGGGAGGUUAGUUAGGUUAGUGGUUAAACGUCGGGUCUAAACCUUGAUUUGCCAUUAAUACUGUAAGACUCGAGUUCAGACGAGGUAGGCGGAAUAAGUUAAGUAGCGGUGAAAUGCGUAGAUAUAACUUAGAACUCCGAUAGCGAAGGCAGCUUACCAGACUGCGACUGACGCUGAAGCACGAGAGCGUGGGUAGCGAACAGGAUUAGAUACCCGGGUAGUC
rnacentral:rRNA from 1 species